rnacentral:rRNA from 1 species
AUGGGAGCUUGCUCCCAGGCGUCGAGCGGCGGACGGGUGAGUAACGCGUAGGAAUCUACCCAGUAGUGGGGGAUAGCCCGGGGAAACUCGGAUUAAUACCGCAUACGCCCUACGGGGGAAAGGCCGGGAUCUUCGGACCGGUCGCUAUUGGAUGAGCCUGCGUUGGAUUAGCUAGUUGGUAGGGUAAAGGCCUACCAAGGCGACGAUCCAUAGCUGGUCUGAGAGGAUGAUCAGCCACACUGGAACUGAGACACGGUCCAGACUCCUACGGGAGGCAGCAGUGGGGAAUAUUGGACAAUGGGCGCAAGCCUGAUCCAGCCAUGCCGCGUGUGUGAAGAAGGCUCUAGGGUUGUAAAGCACUUUCAGUAGGGAGGAAGGCCA